CGCACGCGACGCCUCCCCGCAAAGGCCAGAGAGAGAGUGAGGGCGGCGGCGGCGACGGCGAUGAAUGCGCGCGGCGAACUGAUGCCUUCCGCUGCUCCGGUGCAGCGGCGUCAGCACGUCGCGCUCGUGCCUCGCCGUGCCCACGUUGCCGCGCGGAACUGCCGCAUUGGAGAGCAGAGCGCAUGGAGCCAAGCUGCGACACGGCGCGGGCAGGCGCUCGGCGUCGCGAGAUCCCAGUGAAGGGAGCAGCAAAGCAGGUGUUUGCCUGAUGCUCGUGUGCCGUGGCCUGAUGCCAUGAGCUACCCGCAAACAGGGAAGUUGCCACGGUGGUCGGUGGCAACGCCUAUGCUUCAGCCCCUAAGGUGCCUCCGACACCCUCUCCAUUGCAGCUUGCAUGCUCUCAAGCUCGGCUUUCAGGAACAUGACCUCACCCCUUAGGCCUCUCUGCAAACUGUAUUCAUCAUUGGGGAGCCUUUGUACCUGAUUUCGUAGUUCAGAGAUGAAAAUCAGCCCACAGUGCAAAUUGAAGAUCAAAGUCCAAAAGCCAAACAACGGUCAUCAAAACAUCAAGCAGAGCUCCUCAGAAGACAUAAAUGACGAAAAUGGGCAGAGAAAAACUCAAGGUUCGACACAAAUUUUCACAGGUGAAACCCAUCGAUAAACAUUCUUUUGAUAUGAUGUCAACCCAUAACAGUGAAAGGAAAGAACUCCAUACCUUCAUGGAAUAGUUGUUAUGUACAUGGAUUAGUUGUUAUGAUCUUGAUUGCUGUCCAGGGCUCCCUGCCUGGCUCUAGCUCCAGAAAAUGUAUAGCGGCCGGCCAGCCGGGUAGGUACGGUGUUGCUGGCCUUGGUUGAUUAGGUCAUUACAAUGGAGAAGCAAUAGUAUGUGUUUGUGUCCUUUUUAUAUAAUAUACGUGGAUGCGUUUGAUUUCUUGAUGCUGAAGGAUAGGUGGGGUUGGUAUUGACCUUCAAAGGAUUGGUAGACACGAAAGCAGAAUAUUGUUUAAGAUUGCUGUGCCGGCCUGCAGAAUAUAGUAUGCGAGAUAUAUUGACGCAUGCGGUAGACAUGAUUGAAUUUGAUAUAGAGCAAAAUGCAUCAUAGGUCCAUUAACUUUGAAUUUAGAGAGGUGUCAUAUAGGUUUAUCAACAUCCAACUCUCAAAGUGCAUUUUUGUAUCCAUAAACUUAUUAUGUUGUGCAUUUCAUUUACUAUAUUGGUGAAAAGUUCUAGGAGCUUUAGGAAAUUUCACUUAGGUUGUUUCAGACAUGGAAAUGCUUCGUAUUAACAUUUAUACAUUCAGCCGUUGCAAGGUUGACAGAACUUUCAAAAUUCCUGUCAGUCAGGCAUCUGCAGAAAAAGAUCACUAGUAGUAUUUAAUUAGGAACUGCUCGUGCUAGGUUCAGUGAAAAAGAUCAGUAGUUGAAUGGUGAUAUCUCAGUUUUGAAAUUGCAGGAGAGCCUAAUGAAAUUCUAGGAGAGGCAACUAGCUGGCACUUUUCUGAAUUAUGGUGAUCAAAGCUUCUGUUUUAGAACUUUGCAGAUUUGAAGAAAGAACAGCCUUCACUUUUUUUUAUUUACUUCAUUGUAUUGUUAUUCUAAACUUUUAUGAAGAUUAUUUUCAUGUCGUUGAGGGUUCUCUAUCCAUAUUCAAAAGCCCUGUGAGGUUUUGAGUUAACUCUCUGAAAGAAGCUAGUUCUGGUUCAUCUCA